UACGUGGGGUGCAAGCGUUGUUCGGAAUUACUGGGCGUAAAGCGCACGUAGGUGGUUACUUAAGUCAGAUGUGAAAUCCCCGGGCUCAACCUGGGAAUGGCAUUUGAUACUGGAUUACUAGAGUAUGUUAGAGGGAAGUGGAAUUUCCGGUGUAGCGGUGAAAUGCGUAGAUAUCGGAAGGAACAUCAGUGGCGAAGGCGACUUCCUGGAAUAAUACUGACACUGAGGAGCGAAAGCGUGGGGAGCGAACAGG
rnacentral:rRNA from 1 species